CUUAACUACGGAGGCAACCGAGAUAACUUCUUGGCGGAACUGCAGGCUAGGCUGAACGAGCUUCAAAACCAAUACGGGAAUGUGAAGCGAGAGCUGGACGUGACAGCGACGAAGUUGGGUUCUAGUAUGCAUAGCAUCAAGACAUUCUGGAGCCCAGAGCUGAAGAAAGAACGUGCCUUGAGGAAGGAGGAAGCAGCGAAGCAUGCUCUUAUCAAUGACCAACUUAAGAUGCUCAGAUCAGAAAAUCAGAAACAAGCUGCCUUAAUUCAGCAAUUGGAAGAAGAACUGAGGAUGGCCCAUCUAAGGAAUCCUGACGCUGACAUACAGCAUCUAGAAGCUUUGUACGCAGAAAAAGAACAUAUGACGAAAGAGAUUUACCUUCUCAGGGAAACCAUUAAGGAACUAGAAAUGCGAAUCGAGACGCAGAAGCAAACGUUGGCAGCCCGAGAGGAAAGCAUCAAAAAGUUAAUGGAAAUGCUGCAAACGAAAGGAAUGGGUAACAAGAUGAUAGAAGAAGAACGAAAAGAAAUAGAAAGACUUAAAACGAAGUUAUUCGAAAGCGAAGCCAGAGCAAAACAUUUAGAAAAUAUAUUAGAAGCUAAGGAUAAAGAUCUUGGGCGUUUAAGAGAAGUGGAUGAACUUCGCAUAGAGUUAAAUAAAAGGGACCAAGAAAUUCUCGCCAUGAAUGCCAAAAUGAAAACACUGGAAGAGCAGCAUCAGGACUAUCAGCGCCACAUAGCAGUUCUCAAGGAGUCAUUGUGCGCAAAAGAAGAACACUAUAGUAUGCUACAAGCUGACGUGGAAGAACUUCGCCAAAGGCUGGAAGAAAAAAACAAAAUGAUCGAGAAGAAAACGCAACAAACAAUGGCCGCCACCCAAGAUAGAAACCGUCUUUCGCAGGAAAUGCAAGAAUUGAGAGACCACAUGGACAUCAAAGACAGAAAAAUCAAUGUUCUGCAACGAAAGAUUGAAAACCUCGAGGACUUGUUGAAGGAGAAAGAUAAUCAAGUUGAUAUGGCUAGGGCUCGCCUCACCGCCAUGCAGGCUCACCACUCCUCCUCUGAAGGUGCUCUGUCAAGUCUCGAGGAAGCCAUUACAGACAAAGACAAGCAGAUCCAGCAACUGCGAGAACAGAGAGAUAGAGCUGAGCAAGAACGCAACGAAGAACGGGAACUGCAUGAGCGUGAGAUCGCGGAAUUCAAAAUGAAAAUGCACACCUUAGAAAGUGAAAUGGAAAAGCUCCAGGUACGCUUGGAGAAAGCGGCAGCCGAAAAAGACAGAGUGGAAGCAAAAUUGGAAAACUCCCAAUCAGAACUUGGGCAAGCGAGAGCAGAGCUAGAGAAGAUAUUAGGAGAACAAAACAAAUUCCAAAGCGAAUGGGACAGACAGAGAAAUGAAACUUCCUGGCAUUCUAUGGAGAAUGAAAGACUGAGAGAACAACUUGAACGUAUGAAAUUGGAACUCGAAAAAUCACAGAGCACAAUUGGCAAAUCCCAUUUGUAUCAGUCGGAAGAAGUGGUAAGGCUCCAAGAAAGGUAUGAGAAGGCGCAGUCAGAGCUGAGAAGGGCUCAAGCUGAACUGAGGAUGAAUCAAGCAGAACAAGAACGGUCUAGAGGAGAACUCGAACAAAUUCAAGAAAAGCUGGAGCGAUCACAAGGUGAAAUUUACCGUCUGAAAGCUAAAUUAGAGAAUGCUCAAGUGGAGAAAGAAAGUCUACAAGAAGAAUAUGAUCGGGUGCAAGCUGCGGUUUCGCGUUGCCAUUCUGAGAGAGAUGCAGCACUCACUGAAGCAGAAAAGUUAAGGACUGAGCUCGAGCGAGUCCAAACGAAUCUGAGCAAAGCUCAGCUGCAGCAUGAGAAGACACAAGCUCUCUUGGAUAAGGCGCAACUGGAUGCAGAUCGCAUUCAAGAAAAGUUGGAUAAAUCCAACGCCGAAAUCCGACGCAUGCAAUCAGAGAGAGAACGCGCCCAAUGCGAGAUCGAGAGUCUUCAAAUGCAGCUGAAUCAGGUUCAGAAUCAGUACCAGCGACUCCAAAAAGACAAGGAAACAUCGCAUAUUGAGAUGGAGAAGUCACGAGAGAAGUGUGACCGUGCCCAGAGUCAGCUGCAACGCCUUCAAAAAGAAAAAGAAGUCUUCCAUUCUGAAUUAGAAAAAUUACAAGAAAAAAUCGACGUCCUACAAACGCAGCUGAACAAAGCACAGAAGGAGAAAGAAAAUUCUCAAGCAGAAUUCGAAGUUAUACGGGAAAGGCUUGAAAAAACUCAAAAUCAAUUGGAAAAAUACCAUGUGGAUUACGAUACUUCACAAGCAGAGUUACGUGUUCUCCGUGAGAAACAAGAAAAAAUGCAGCUGCAGCUUCAAAAGGCAGCUGAAGACAGAGAACUGUCGAGAGCAGAAUACGAAAAACUUGUUGAAAAAUUAGAAAGAUCUCAAAGUGAGCAUUACAAACUUCAAACUAAAUAUGAACAAGUACAAGCAGAGCUCGACAGAGUUACAUUGGAAGUUGAAAAAUCUCACAUAAUAGCCAAUAAAACAAAAGAAGAUGCCCGGAAAUCAUUGGAAGAGUUUGAUACAUUAAAAGAAAUGUACGCCAGAAAUUAUUCCCAAUUAACUAAAACAAAAGAGUCUGAAGAAAAAAUGAGAGUUGAAUUAGAUCGCUGCCAAAUGGAAUUGGAAGUCAUGAGAGACAGACACGAGAAAGCCCAGAUUGAACUGAGAAGACUGCAGUCAGAGAGAGACAAAUUACAAGCAGAUGUUGACCACAUGUCAUUAGAAAUGGAAAGAGUUCAAAAUCAAGUUGGUAAAACACAAACUAGUCAUGAGAAAUCUCAGGAAGAGCUAGCUAGAAUGCAAGUUGAACUGGAAAAAGUAUACGAAAAAUUAGAUAAAUCUCAAACAGAAUUAAGACGAGCCCAGACAGAGAAAGACAGACUCCAAUCUGAAAAAGAAAAUGUUCAGUCAGAAUUAGAACGAUAUCAGUCUCAAAUGUCCAAAUACCAUUCGUCCCAAGAAAAAUCUCAGGUUGAAUUUGAACGACUGAGAAUAGAUCUCGAAAAAAUAAAAGAUAAGUAUGAGAAGGCAAUGGUAGAAUUGGAAAAGACUAAUCAACAGAAAGACAUCUUAAACGGAGAACUACAGAAACUACGCGUUGAAAUGGAGCAAUUACGAAUGGAGAAAGGUGUCACUAUCCAGGAACGAGAGAAGCACAACGCAGAAGUAGAGAGGCUCCACAUCGAAGUUGAAAAAGCUAAAGACAAAUAUGAAACGGCUAUAGCCGAAUUAAAGAAGUUACAAGAACUCAAACUGAAACAACAAGCUGAUCCUGAAAUUUUACGAAAGGAAGCCGAAGCUGCUCAGGCAAGAGUAGAAAAAUUAACUGGUAUGGAAGAGAAAACUAAGCAGGAAAUAGAAAGAGAGGCUAAAGACAUUGAACGGAUGCGAGAUAGAUUAGAGCGUGUACAAGUAGAAUUGCUAAAAACACGAGACGAGAGGGAUGCUCUCCAAAAAGAGGUUCAAACACUACAAGUCUCGUUGGAGGAAUAUCGAAGUAAAGCUGAAGCUCAGAUGUUUACGCAGAAGGAGAUAGAAUUCGCUCAAAGUGAAACAGCUCGUCUGAAGCAGCUGUUGAGCAAAUCGGAAGCAGAAGUGCAACGAACAUUGUCCGAAAACAGCCGCUUGCAGAUGGAAGUCGAACGCUUGAAGCAAGACAUGGAAGAUUCGGAAACGUACGCGACGAAAAUGCGCGAUAGUCAAGAAAAGAUGCAAGCAGAAUACGACAGGAUGAGAGGAGAGGUUAAAAAAAUGCAAGAGAAGUUAGAUCAGGCUCAGAAAGAGCUUCGAAAGAUAUCAGAGGAAAAGGAUAACCUCCAACGGCAGCUAAAGGAAUACGAAGCCGAGAUAGAACGCACAAAAUCAGCAGUGGGCCACGAAUUACAAGAAGCUUCGAGAUCGGAGAUCGAGAAGUAUAAAAAAGAGAUUAGUAGACUCCAAAAUGAUCUGCAACGCAUUGAUGGACAGUUGCAAGAAACGGUAAAUGAGAACCAAGAUCUUAGAACAGAACUGGAAAGGUCUUUGGAUGCCUUGGCCACCAUACAUAAACAGCUGGAAGACACUAACGCUGAUCUGGCAAAAGCAAGGGAGCAAAACAAGCAGCUAAAGGCUGAACAAUUAAAAUCACAAAAAUUAUCUGGGAAAGCAACAGCAAGUGAAAAGGAAAUUGAAUCCCUGAGAAACGAUCUUGAAAAACAAAAGUCCGAAACUCAGAAAUUGCAACAAGAAAACCAGCAGCUGAAGAAACAACUGGAGAAAGCUCAGGAGGAAGUAAAGAACUUCGGUGUCGAACGAGAAAGAUUCCAAGCUCAAUUAGAAAUGCUCGUUCAAGAGUUGGAAAAAAGAGAGGCUGACAUCCAUAAUCUUCAAGGUCAAAAGGGUAAAAUUGAAGCUCAACAAGAUGCAGAAGUUGCAGCUUUGCGCAAGCAGCUGGACGAGAAGCAGAAAGCCCUUGAAGAUAUGGAGAGAAAACUUAAAAAGAGAAAAGAACGGUUAGACCAAAUGGAGCAGCAACUGAAACAGGCUGAAGCUAUGAAAGGGCAUGCACCUCCUCAGCAAGUAGCAGAACUUCAGCGGAAGAAUGCGGAAAUGCAGAAGGAGUUGACAACACUGAAGGAAGAAUCCAGCAGAUCCCAGACAGAGCUCGCCAGAUUACUUCAAAUCAUGUCCACCUCGGAAGAGGAAAAAUUUGCCUUGAAUCAACAAAUCAGUAACUUGCAGCAAGCUUUGAAAGAGAAAGAGAGUCAGUUGAAUAACUUGCGGAGAGGGCAGCAAGGAGGAGGAGGAUCUCAGACAUUGCCAAUGCCAAUUCGUAGGCCAGAACCUGAUAGCAAAGAUCCAUCAAAACAACCACAAGGUGCAGGACCGGCCAGUUUCUUCUCAAGCUUCUUCUGAUAUGUCUUGAGUUGCUCUUUGCACAAUGGACCAUACUUAGUUCCAGCAGACAUUAUUUUUCAUUACCUACGGUACUGCCAUGUGAACAGUAGCGAAUAUCACUUUACGCCCCUGUUCUAUGUUUUUACUUCUUUGUUAUAAUAUAUAUAUAUAUCACAGCAAAUAAAAAAAUGCCGCAUGUUGGUUGUCAAAUCAUCGGUGCCUUCUAUAUUAAUGAUAUCUUUGACGAUGGCUCGAGUCCUGGAGAGCAUAUACUUCCUCCUUCAAGAAACUUCCUCUUACGUUUCAAAGACACAGUCCUCUUGUAUCCAUCUAUGGCUCUUGUUGCUUCCUUUUUUUCCGUACUCAGUGUUUCUAUGUCUGGUACCAAUGUCGUCUCCGGACCAUCCUGUAAAUGUGUGCCAAUUUUUCUCUGUCACACUCUGUCCAGCUGCACACGAAGCCAGCUGUCGUUCCUAACAUCCGUUUUCUGAAGAAUGUAAAGAUCAUGUGUUACCCAAAGAAAUGGGAAGUGUCUUCUUUAGCGCAAAAGACCCUGACUGGAGAUGUCUCUUGCCAAAAAAGCAUCAUCAAAUUUGGAGAAGUAUUGCAAACAUUUUUAGGACUUGGUGGUCAAGAGCAUUGAAUAUCCCCGUGCCUGGAUAAAUUUCGUGUGUGAUUUUUGAUUUUUGAAUCUCUUGACUGUAAUUAAAAAAUCAUAUGCUGGUGAAUGGAACCAUGUAUUAGCGGUUCUUUCAGCGACUAGAUUCCAGAAGUUUUAUCUGGCAUAAUUAUCAUUGUGGUGCUCUGGUCUACUCAAAGUGUGUACCUUGUAAACGUUUAGUUUCUGAACGCAAACGUUGGCUUCAGUAUACCGCAAUGUAAAUUUACUUAAAGUAGGUUGUUGAUUAAUUUAUAUGCCUUAUUUCUAUAGCAAAUGGAAUUGAAAGUAGUUGCAACAUUCAACUUUAUUUUCGAGCAUUUCUAUAAAUUUUGGAACAUUUAGGCUGUUAGAUUCUUCUAAGAUAAUUUUAUUGACACUCGCAAAAAAAGGCAUGAUUUUUUCAAAAUUCAAAAAUGCAAAAUUGUUGAUUGUAAAUAUUUCAUUUUGUUCACUAGAGUUAUAACUAUUUAGUUUAACGGAAUAUUUCUUUGAUAUCCGUGAAGACGCUUCCAAAUGUGCCAUAUAAAUAAAUUAGCAAAUCAUCAGUAACAAAACUGAUCGCAAAAAUAAUUUUCACUGUCGUUCCCAAAUGCAUAAGCUUUUUCUAAUAGAAAAAAUGUUUUCAUUAGGAAAAGAAUUUUAACAGUUCUGAAAUCAGAAUUUGUGAUUGUUAUAAGUUGACCUGAAAAAGUACUCAUUAAUUACAAUUAAAAAUUUCAGAAUUACUAACUUCUUGAUUGCUAAUAAAAGUAUUAAUGAAAAAUCAAUGUAGAUUCAUAACGAUUAGUUCUUAUAAAUGCAGAUGAUAUAUGUUACACCUUCUGUUGCACUUAUUAAGUAUAAUUGUCACAAAAUUCAAAACAUUAACGUAUAAGUACACUUGAUGCAUUUGUAUAGUAAACAUAAUUAUUUGCCCUAACAGUUUAUUACGGGUUUUAAAAUCUAGUUUGCACUGAAUUAAAACCACAUAGUUGCUUUAUUGCGUCAAAUAUGUUAAGAAUUAAAAUUCUUAAUCUUACCUUAUAUACUGUUAAAUUUAAGUGAUGUUACAAGUUAAGCUAACAGCAGUUUUAUAUUUGUACAUACAUUGUCAGAUAUUAACAUUUGCUUGACUAUUUUCCAGAAAGCAAGCUAGUAUGUUUUGAGGUUUCUUUGACUUUGUGAGGUAUGUAUUAAAUGUUAUGCCAAAGACGCUGGUCGCAAGCAUAAAUGACAUUAAUUUUAUGCGUCAUUUUUUGUAUUUUUCUUUGAUGUAUGUGACAGUCGGCUGAAUCUGGGACCAUAACCUCUACCUGACUGUUUGAAGCGUGUUUGUUUUAAUAUCUGAGCAAUUUUGUUGUAUAACGUUUGUCGAUUUCAACGUGUAUAAAUGUAAAUCAUACAAAAAGUAAUCUGUGAAGAGUAAAUUAACAGCAAUGUGAACCAAAACAGAGAAUAGUCAUUUUUCAGUCUAUUUCUAGUUCUUCCAGAAAUAUAAAACGUAAUCUGCAAUAAUGUAGCGUCAUUAAAAAACAAAAUUUAAUUAAUUUCAAAUCAGGAAAUAAUUUCAAAAAUCAAAACUUCAGAAUUAAAGGUUUCAAUGUGACUUAAAAAUUCACUUUCAUUUCCCUUAAAUAGAAAUUAGUAGACUUUAAAGUAAUAUACAGCGAAAAAAUAAUGCGUUAUUCUCAGAGCUCAUUCAAAAUUUCUGUAAAAAUUAAUGUAAAAUAUUUAUCUCGAUGAUAACUCCAUACAUAUAACCAACAGUAAAUUAAAAAUUCCUUUGUUUUAUAGAUUGUAAAAAAUAAAUAAAUAAAUAAAGAGAGAGAAAAGAGAAAGAAAGGAGGAGCUGAAAUUUUCUAAAUUUUACGUCUUUAAUUAGGAAAUAACUCAUGACAAAAAAAAUGGAAGAAGGAAAAAACUCCGAAAACAAAUGAUGAAGUAAAAAAUUAUACAAAUCAAUAGCUGCUCCUGAUUUCUUUUUAAUUAUACAACGUGCAUUAUUUAUUACAUUAUUAUGGUAUGCAAGUUUCCAGUAAUAAAAUAUAACAUUUUGUAUAGUAUUUUUAGAGGCAUACGCAAAAAUAUAGAAUUGUGUAAUGGCAAUUGGUAUCUUAAAUUUUGUUUGAGAAACUGAACUCAAAAUGCAUAAAUGUUUUAUACAUUGAUUACAUCAGAUCUAAUUUAAUAAAAAAGUAAAAUUUUUAUUUUGUAGUAGAAUAAUUUUAUUUAUAGUUUGUUGAGCAUUCAGAAGCAUAAAAUCGGCUGCAAACUUUAUUACAGAGUUGAUCCCCGUUAUAACGAACUAGAACCGAAAAUUCGGUUACCUAUAUUCGAUCUAAUAAGAAAAUUGAUCAUCUCACAAAAUAAUGUAUAAAAGUAUUGAUAUAUCAUACAGAAAGAGUCAUUAGCAUUGUCACAUAUCCCAAAGUUGUUAAUAGUAACUUUAGUGUAGAAAAAGAAUAUAUAAAUUCAAUUGCAAUUAUUAUUACGUACAGUUACAAAUUUUAUUUUUUAUUUUUCAGUUUCACCAUACGUCCUUAUUUAAUACAAAAUAUUACUUAGCAUAAAAGUCAUGAUUUAGAACCAUUCCUCCAGUUAGACAUUUCCUUCUAAAAUACAAAUUUACAAUAUGAAUAAGCAUCAGCCUUGAGCAAAGUGCUAUCUGACUGCUCAAUCAAAGAACUGCAAUGGCAUCAAAGAACGAUUUAAGCCCUUUGUCUUAAUGAAUCAAUGGUUCUUUGGCUCAGUACGGGGCACUGUAGGAUCCCCUAAGGUAUACUUUUUGUGUGCCCUGGUUUUCCAAAGGUUGAGAGCUACACCUGAUUUGCAUAGCAUUUUGCUUAGAACACAGAGAAAGAUGGGAAUGAAGAUAAAAUAACAGCAACCUGAAGGAGUUUUUCGUUUUUCCAGUACUUUAAACAGGACGAAUUUAAAGGCUAGUAAUUUUUCAGCUAAAAACUGCAGAAAUUCUGGGAAAAAUUUUAAAACAUACAGAUUAUUUUCAGCCCAAGAUAUUCAUGAAGUUCGUUUUACCAGAUUUUCAUGCAGCUGGAAGUUCGUUAUAGCCGUAUAAAAUAACAUUAAGUUAUAAGAAAUUGGUUUGUUGUUCGUUUCAAAAAGUUAUAAAAAGUUCGUUUAUUAUAUUUAUUCUCUAUAGCGGAAUUUGACUGUAUUUUCAUAUGAAGCUGUGUAUUAAGUUUGAAAAAUACAAUUAAUACAUCAGUGCAUUAUUGAAUAAUUUUAAUAACCAGGGGUUAAUUUAAUAACCAUCGCUGAUGUUGUUCAUUAAACAUAAUUAAAAGUAAUAUUAAGAAAAAAAUAAAUAAGACAUGAAUAUUAAGGUAUUACUUUUUGUAACAUUCCUUCAUUGCUCAAAUCGUACAACAUAGAGUAAUUAAGUAUGGUUUAUUGUUGAACUGAUUAAAUGUAACAUAAUGUAUGAGAUUAUAAGGUGUUUUAAGUAAUGCUAUUACUGAAUAUAACUGCUAAAAUAUAUUUUGCAAAAAUUUAAAUUUAUAAACACUAUUAUUAAUAUAUUUUAUUUUUAUUACUACUAUAUAAAGCAGAGUUAAAAUUGUACUCAUGACGAUCUUAUGAUAAUUAUUCUAAAUUUUUAAAUUGUAAUGAUGAUCAAAUGCUCAUUUCUCGGAGGGCUAAAAUUGAUUGAAUGAUACAAAAUAUUAGUUUUUGGCGUGCAAUAUAAAUAAAUACCGAAGUUCGGGUGUAAUAAAAAUGAAAAUUCUACAGAGUUUUAAGAUCUUGCGAAAGAAUUCUAAUUUACAGCAAAAAAUGAAGCAGAGCUGUUAAGAAUGAAAAUCAUAAAUAUAUUACUUAGGUUAUGAGUGCAUUGUUUAGUCUGGACAUUGCUUAGAUCCUUGGUGUCAAUCUAAAUAAGUAGAAAUUGAUGUAUCAUGAUGUUACGUGUUUAGAAAAUAUUUCAAAUCUAUAUAAACAGAAAAUAUUAACAUUAAUAGAUGCUUAAAAGCGAGUUAAGUUUGGAAUAUGCUUAGAAACCAUGUGUCUAGUCAACAUAACGUCAAAACAUAAUGUCUAGUCAACCAUCAUAAUAGGUAAAUAAUCAUUAAAUUAAAAAGCAAAUCGUUUUAUUAAUUACAUAAAAAAAUUUCUAAUAACAAGUAUAAAAUUUUAAAAUCCAUUUGCCUUUUUCUUAACCUUCCUAAUUUUUUGGUUUAGAUAGAUUUUUAUAUAAUUUUAAUCAUUUCUGAUUAUAUAGAUUAUAAUUUUAUAGAUUUCAAAGAUCUGAGUGUACAUACAUUUAUCGUCACAUAUUAUACAGUUGUCAUUUGUUAGUUAUUUAUUUAUUCAUCAUAUUUUGAAAAAAAAAAUUCCCAACUAUGACCAACAACAGGAGACAAAUUAUAAGCGAAUACAUUAAAUUGGAUAUAUAGUUGUUCAUUAACAUUUUUGUAGCGAACGCCGUUGUUUUAAAUAUUACUGUGUGAAUCAUUUUCUACUAUAUAUUGUGUAAAGUUGCGCGCUUCCAACCUGCACGCAACAAAGUGGCGACUGCAGAAAACUGGAAAUUAGACAGAGUCUUGAGAAGGGUUUAAGUCCCUUUUUAUUCAACUUUA
rnacentral:misc_RNA from 1 species